GAGUUUGAUCCUGGCUCAGGAUGAACGCUGGCGGCGUGCUUAACACAUGCAAGUCGAACGGGAAUUACUUUAUUGAAACUUCGGUCGAUUUAAUUUAAUUCUAGUGGCGGACGGGUGAGUAACGCGUGAGUAACCUGCCCUAGAGUGGGGGACAACAGUUGGAAACGACUGCUAAUACCGCAUAAGCCCACGGUACCGCAUGGUACUGAGGGAAAAGGAUUUAUUCGCUUUAGGAUGGACUCGCGUCCAAUUAGCUAGUUGGUGAGGUAACGGCCCACCAAGGCGACGAUUGGUAGCCGGACUGAGAGGUUGAACGGCCACAUUGGGACUGAGACACGGCCCAGACUCCUACGGGAGGCAGCAGUGGGGAAUAUUGCGCAAUGGGGGCAACCCUGACGCAGCAACGCCGCGUGCAGGAAGAAGGUCUUCGGAUUGUAAACUGUUGUCGCAAGGGAAGAAGACAGUGACGGUACCUUGUGAGAAAGUCACGGCUAACUACGUGCCAGCCGCCGCGGUAAUAC
rnacentral:rRNA from 1 species